rnacentral:rRNA from 1 species
CCUACGGGUGGCAGCAGUGAGGAAUAUUGGUCAACGGUCGGGAGACUGAACCAGCCAAGCCGCGUGAGGGAUGAAGGUACAGAGUAUCGUAAACCUCUUUUGUCAGGGAACAAAGGCUGGGACGUGUCCCCGGAUGAGUGUACCUGAAGAAAAAGCAUCGGCUAACUCCGUGCCAGCAGCGGCGGUAAUCCGGAGGAUGCGAGCGUUAGCCGGAUUUAUGGGGUUUAAGGGGUGCGCAGGCGGUCUGUUAAGUCAGCGGUCAAAGCCCGGGGCUCAACCCCGACCCGCCGUUGAAACUGGCAGUCUCGAGUUGGAGAGAAGUAUGCGGAAUGCGCGGUGUAGCGGUGAAAUGCAUAGAUAUCGCGCAGAACUCCGAUUGCGAAGGCAGCAUGCCGGCUCCACACUGACGCUGAGGCACGAAAGCGUGGGUAUCGAACAGGAUUAGAUACCCGUGUAGUC